AACGAACGCUGGCGGCAUGUCUAACACAUGCAAGCCGAACGAGACCUUCGGGUCUAGUGGCGCACGUGUGCGUAAAGCGGGGGAACCUCCCCUUAGGUACGGACUAACUCCUCGAGAGGGGUGCUAAUACCGGAUAAUUUCUUCUGACCAAAGAUUUAUCGCCAUUGGAUGGGCUCGCGUUGGUUUAGCUAGUUGGUAGGGUAUAAGCCUACCUAGGCGUCGAUCCAUAGCUGGUCUGAGAGGAUGAUCAGCCACACUGGAGCUGAGACACGGCCCACACUCCGAGGCGAGGCUGCAGUGGGGAAUAUUGGACGAUGGACGAAAGCCUGAUCCAGCCGUGACGCGUGUGGGGUGAAGGGGUUUGGGUUGUACAGCUCUUUUGCCAGAGACGAUAAUGACAGUACCGGGAGAAUAAGCGCCGGCUAACUCCGUG
rnacentral:rRNA from 1 species